rnacentral:rRNA from 1 species
AUACGGAGGGUGCAAGCGUUAUCCGGAUUUAUUGGGUUUAAAGGGUGCGCAGGCGGACCUGUCAGUCAGUGGUGAAAUCCCGGGGCUCAACCCCGGAACUGCCAUUGAUACUACAGGUCUUGAAUACGGUUGAAGUAGGCGGAAUGUAGCAUGUAGCGGUGAAAUGCAUAGAUAUGCUACAGAACACCGAUCGCGAAGGCAGCUUACUAAGCCGAUAUUGACGCUCAGGCACGAAAGCGUGGGUAGCGAACAGGAUUAGAUACCCUAGUAGUCC